GUUCUUGAAGCGUCCGUCCGCACCACGGCCUGGAGUCUAGGGAGCCGUCAGCGCACUGGACCGGGACAGAAGCUAGGGAUCAUACGAGGCGCCCUUCUGGUUUCCUUGGAGAAUCGCAUGCCAAGUGGAGAGGCUCAAGGGCAGAACUAAAGGGACAAAAGCUGGCCCAGUCAGCCCCAGGCCAUCAGGACUUCCUACGUGUUCAGCUGCUUGUGACUGAGAGCCCGGAGACUGCGGAGCCAUUCCCCAGCCUGCUUUGCUCGAGCAGGUUCUGUGGCGCCAAAGGAUGAGUGGGUGACGGAUCACAGAGUCGGCCAGAUGGAGUGCACCUUGGUUUAGUAGAGCAGCUGCAGGAGGGGCUUUUUGAGGAAUGUAGCCCCAUCGGGCCAGGUUCGUUUCACUGAGCCCUGGGUCUGAGGGCGAAGCCCUGCUGUGGACCUUCUGAUGAACAUAAAUGCAUCCUGACCACAACCAGCCAAGAGCCCUCCCUGGAUCCUGCCAGCUCUGUGGUCCCUGAUGAAGAUGUAGCUCUCAGCCCUGAUGAUGCAGCUCCCGUGCCCUGCCUGCCUGCCUGCCACUCAACUCCCUAUCAUACUGUUCAUAGACUUACCCUCUGAAACUACAGCCAAUCCUCCAAUUAAAUGUUUUCUUCUUU
rnacentral:lncRNA from 1 species